rnacentral:tRNA from 2 species
GGACUCGUAGCUCAAUUGAAUAGAGCACUACAUUACGGCUGUAGAGGUUACAGGUUUGACUCCUGUCGGGUUCACAA